rnacentral:rRNA from 1 species
AUUGAACGCUGGCGGCAUGCCUAACACAUGCAAGUCGAACGGCAGCAUGGUCUAGCUUGCUAGACUGAUGGCGAGUGGCGAACGGGUGAGUAACGCGUAGGAAUAUACCUUAUAGAGGGGGAUAACCUGGGGAAACUCAGGCUAAUACCGCAUGUUAUCUAAGGAUUAAAGCUGGGGACCUUAGGGCCUGGCGCUAUAAGAAUAGCCUGCGUCCGAUUAGCUAGUUGGUGGGGUAAAGGCCUACCAAGGCGACGAUCGGUAGCUGGUCUGAGAGGAUGAUCAACCACACUGGGACUGAGACACGGCCCAGACUCCUACGGGAGGCAGCAGUGGGGAAUUUUGGACAAUGGGCGCAAGCCUGAUCCAGCCAUUCCGCGUGCAGGAUGAAGGCC